ACCUUGCUGACGAGUGCCACGUAGCACGAAACCCGUGUCCAGGGU
rnacentral:hammerhead_ribozyme from 1 species